UUCCGGUUGAUCCUGCCGGACCCCACUGCUAUCGAGAUGGGACUAAGGUAUGCUAGUCGAACGACCAGAACUAUGUCUGGAAGUGGCACACUGCUCAGUAACACGUAGCUAACCUACCCUUAGGACGUGGAUACCCCCGAGAAAUUGGGGUUAAUCCGCGAUAGAUGUAAUGUCCUGGAAUGGUAUUACGUCUAAAGGUAUUUCAUACAUGUUUGAAAUAUGCCUAAGGAUGGGGCUGCGGCCGAUCAGGCUGUUGGUGAGGUAAUGGCUCACCAAACCUUUGACCGGUACGGGCCAUGAGAGUGGUAGCCCGGAGAUGGACACUGAGACAAGGGUCCAGGCCCUAAGGGGCGCAGCAACCGCGAAACCUCCACAAUGCACUCACGUGCGAUGGGGCUAUCUCGAGUGCCACCUGAUGAAGGUGGCUUUUCCUUGGUCUUCAAAGCCUUGGGAAUAAGAGGGGGGCAAGACUGGUGUCAGCCGCCGCGGUAACACCAGCCCCUCGAGUGGUGGGGAUGAUUAUUUGGCCUAAAGCGUCCGUAGCCGGCCGAGCAAGUCUUCCGUUAAAUCCAGCGUCUCAAGCGUUGGACCGCGGGAGAUACUACACGGCUAGAGAGUGGGAGAGGUCAGCGGUAUUCUGGGGGUAGGGGGG
rnacentral:rRNA from 1 species